rnacentral:pre_miRNA from 1 species
UAUAAGGGAUUUUGAGUUUUUGCUUGCAACGUUUGACCACUCGUCUUAUUCAAAAAAUUCUGAAAUUAUUAAUUAUUUUAUUUGUGACUUACUUUAUUAUCUACAGUAUUUUAAGCACAACUUUUUGUUUUUUAUAUUUGAAAAAAAAUUAAAUAAAACGAGUGGUCAAACGUUGCAAGCAAAACCUAAAAAUCGCUUAUAUU